rnacentral:rRNA from 1 species
GAUGAACGCUGGCGGCGGGCCUAACACAUGCAAGUCGAACGGAUCCUUCGGGAUUAGUGGCGGACGGGUGAGUAACACGUGGGAACGUGCCCUUUGGUUCGGAACAACUCAGGGAAACUUGAGCUAAUACCGGAGGUGCCCUUCGGGGGAAAGAUUUAUCGCCAUUGGAGCGGCCCGCGUCUGAUUAGCUAGUUGGUGAGGUAAAGGCUCACCAAGGCGACGAUCAGUAGCUGGUCUGAGAGGAUGAUCAGCCACAUUGGGACUGAGACACGGCCCAAACUCCUACGGGAGGCAGCAGUGGGGAAUCUUGCGCAAUGGGCGAAAGCCUGACGCAGCCAUGCCGCGUGAAUGAUGAAGGUCUUAGGAUUGUAAAAUUCUUUCACCGGGGACGAUAAUGACGGUACCCGGAGAAGAAGCCCCGGCUAACUUCGUGCCAGCCGCCGCGGUAA